rnacentral:rRNA from 1 species
AUGACUAGGGAUAACCUUAGGAAGAUACACAUCAUCAAACCCCUUGAUUGUGUUUACUGCUUGGAACAAGAGUCUUGUUCUCACCUAUUUUUUGAAUGUAUAGUUGCUAAACAUCUCUGGGACCACAUUGAGGAAUAUUUCUGUAGUCAGAUUGGCUCAUCCUUCGAAUUUGUCGCCAGAUUCUGGAUUGCUACCAAAAAGUGCUCAGUUUUAAACACUGUUAGCUCAGCUGUCCUUUGGUGCCUCUGGAAAUAUAGAAAUGCUAUGAUUUUCAGUAACACCUCCUGGAUUUCCAUUCCGCAGGUCUUGAGGUUGAUCAGGAACAUGGUGAGGAACUGGGUGAUUCUCUCCUCCGAAUCGGACAAGGACAAGUUGAUGAGCUUCAUGGAAACCCUAACAAGAUCCCUCUAG